rnacentral:misc_RNA from 1 species
AAAGUCGUAACAAGGUUUCCGUAGGUGAACCUGCGGAAGGAUCAUUACUGAAUAAACUUGAUGGAUUGUUGCUGGCUUCUCUUGAGCAAGUGCACGUCUGUCAUUUUUAUCUUUCCACCAUGUGCACUGUGCGUAGGUCUGGAUUUUUUUGAUCAAUUUGAUCUUUGGAAUCUGCUGUUGAAUUUGACAGCUUUUUCUGUUUUUCAGACUCUAUGAUUUUUUAUAUACACCAAUGUAUGUUAGAGAACGAUUAUAAUGGGCUUCUGAAGCCUAUAAGCAUAUACAACUUUCAGCAACGGAUCUCUUGGCUCUC